rnacentral:RNase_P_RNA from 1 species
AGAGCAGGUCGGGUGGUCGCUGCCGCUAAAAAGCGGGAGAGGAAAGUCCGAACACUACAGGGCAGCGAGCCAGCUAACGGCUGGGCAUCGGGCAUGACGAGCGGCAUUAAGUUGCCGGACGCUUCAAGCCUGAUGACGACAAGUGCAACAGAGAAUAGACCAGCCUCUCAGAGAAUCUGAUAUUUCAGAUUACUCGAAAGAGGUGAUGGGUGAAACGGUGCGGUAAGAGCGCACCAGCGCCGGUGGCGACACGCGGCGGCUAGGCAAACUCCUCGCAGUGCAAGACCAAAUAGGGAGGCGUCAAAAAGGGCUGCCCGCCCGAAAGUCUCGUCGAGACUUACGACCUCCGGGUAGGUCGCUCGAUCCAACCGGCGACGGUUGGGCUAGAUGAAUGAUCGCCGCUUCGGAGAACUCCGAAGAACAGAAUUCGGCUUACAGACCUGCUCUCAAA